GAUAUUUGUUCCUGAGUCUUGGUUGUUUUCUAUGUAUUUAUGUAUUUGCUAAUAAAAAAAUAUUAUAUAUAUCGUUGUCUGAGUACCCACAACACAAGCCUUCUUGAGCUUACUGUGGGACUUAGUCAAUCUGUGUAAGAAUGUCCUAUAAUAUUUAUUU